GACGAACGCUGGCGGCGUGCUUAACACAUGCAAGUCGAACGGAAAGGCCCUGCUUUUGUGGGGUGCUCGAGUGGCGAACGGGUGAGUAACACGUGAGUAACCUGCCCUUGACUUUGGGAUAACUUCAGGCAACUGGGGCUAAUACCGGAUAGGAGCUCCUGCUGCAUGGUGGGGGUUGGAAAGUUUAGGCGGUUGGGGAUGGACUCGCGGCUUAUCAGCUUGUUGGUGGGGUAGUGGCAUACCCAGGCUUUGACGGGUAGCCGGCCUGAGAGGGUGGACGGGCACAAGAGGACUGCGAGACGGACCAGACGGCUACGGGAGGCAGCAGGGGGGAAUAUUGCACAAUGGGCGGAAGUCUGAUGCAGCAACGUCGCGUUCGUGAAGACGGCCUUCGGGGUGUAAACCGCUUUCGCCUGUGACGAAGCGGGAGUGACGGUAAUGGGUAAAGAAGCACCGGCUAACUACGUG
rnacentral:rRNA from 1 species